rnacentral:rRNA from 1 species
UAAGCCACGCUACUGUGCCGCAUCGUGCACGUUCCGAUUUAUUGGUUUAAGGGUGCGAGGCGGUAAGCAUGGUGAACUUAGUACUGGGAUGACUUCUGAGUAAGAGAGGUGGCGAUUGAGUGUGGGGAAAUGCUUAUAUCAAGACACCAUAGCGAAGGCAGCUACUAGAUCUGACGCUGAUGCACAAAGUGGGGGAUCAAACAGGAUUAAUACCCUGGUAGUCCCACUGUAACUGAUUACUCGAUGUGCAGCGCGUCUGAAAGCGAUAAGAAUCACCUGGGGGUACGCCGCAAGGGUGAAACUCAAAGGCACAAGUUUAUCGCGGAGAACUUACCUGGCUAGUAUGAGAUCGCAGGUCUGCAUGGCUUUCAGCUCGUGCCGUGAGGUGUGGGUUAAGUCCCCAACGACGCACCCCUAUUUUAGUUGCACGGACUCUAAGAGACUGCCUGC